CAGAGAAUAGUUUAAUGUAGAAUCUUAG
rnacentral:tRNA from 11 species